UCGAGGACGAGGCCGUCACCGUCGGGGGAACCAACCACAGCCACGCCACCAAGGACCUCUACGACGCCAUCGCCGCCGGCAACUUCCCCGAGUGGAAGCUCUACAUCCAGACCAUCGACCCGGACCACGAGGACCGCUUCGACUUCGACCCGCUGGACGUGACCAAGACCUGGCCCGAGGACGUGAUCCCGCUGCAGCCCGUGGGGCGCAUGGUGCUCAACCGAAACAUCGACAACUUCUUCACCGAGAACGAGCAGCUCGCCUUCUGCCCGGGCGUCAUCGUGCCGGGGAUCUACUACUCCGACGACAAGCUGCUGCAGACCAGGAUCUUCUCCUACUCCGACACGCAGCGCCACCGCCUGGGGCCAAACUACCUGCUGCUCCCGGCCAACGCGCCCAAGUGCGCGCACCACAACAACCACUACGACGGGUUCAUGAACUUCAUGCACCGCGACGAGGAGGUGGACUACUUCCCGUCCAGGUACGACGCAGCCAAGAACGCGCCGAGGUACCCAAUCCCAUCCGUCCCGCUCACCGGACGCCGCGAGAAGGUACUUAUUUCGAUUCUCCUGCAUCUCAUUCUCAUCUCAUCAGUGAUCGAUCACAAAUUGCUCAGGUCACUCUGCUCCAUUGAUCUGUGCCUGCAGACUAUGAUUAAGAAGGAGAACAACUUCAAGCAGCCCGGGGAGAGGUACCGCUCAAUGGACCCGGCAAGGUGCGUGCAAUUCAUUCAUCCAUUAUUCAUGCUCUCUUGUAGUGAACUGAAUUGAAGUGGAUUGGAUUUGUAAUUGCAGGCAAGAGCGGUUCAUCAAGAGAUGGAUCGAUGCGCUCUCUGACCCUCGCCUCACCCACGAGAUCAGGAGCAUAUGGCUCUCCUACUGGUCUCAGGUAAUAUAAUUAAGCGCAGCUUCGUUCUCCAGAUAAUAAAAUACAGACAUCUCCAUGCUUGCAUGCUCGCUGAAUUGAAGGACAGAAUUUCUGAAUUGCUGUCUGUCUGACCGAUCGAUGCAGACCGACAGAUCCCUGGGCCAGAAGCUUGCGAGCCGUCUCAGUGCCAAGCCCAGCAUGUAAGCUCAGCCAAUGGUACAGCGACCAAACAAACACUCUGCUACGCUCAUGGAAUAAAUCCAGGCCCUCUUAUCGGCAAGAUCCAACCUGAUGCUACAAAUAUUCUAGCAUGCAUACUGAGUCUCUAUUUUGUAAGAGGACAUAUGGUUCCGUCACAUUCCUGUAUCAUCACCGUGUAAUAAUUUGUACUUGCAGACUCGUUUCCCCUGAUACUACAUUGUAUUUGUAAUUGUUGCAACUGCACCUUAUUAAAUUCAGAACAAAUUUCAUACAGCAAAUUUCUAAAUGUAAAUAUUUGUACAGCAGUAGCAUAGUAUCACGACAUAGCAAUUUAUCAAUUUUUUUUCUUUUAGGCCAUUAUAUGGGCUUAACUGUAACUUCUGGGCCGAAACAAGGCCUUCACUGAACAGUUGGCCCACACGAGCGGUUCUGCACUCAACAAGCAAGCACCCACCUUCUUCAGUUCUUCCCAACAACGAGACGCUGAGAUCUGAUUUGCAAAAAUCAGUAUACCUUUUCCCCGUCGUAGCACAGUGAAUCCUAGCACCACUAUGUUAUGGAUCUAGCAGCUGGAACCUUAUACCCAUGUGCGCAUCUCUCUGCAUUCCACUGAAUCCACUAGAAAGAAAGAAAGCAGCUCGGUCGAGCAAUAGUUUUCGGCAGGCACUACCAGCGCACUGCCCACACGUACCACACACCAGCACUCCAGCAGUGCGUCAGCUUUCUUAAUCACGAAACCAACCCAAUCAUGCACGAAUGGUAGUUAGGGCAAACUCUCAAAACCUAUGACGAUCGACGACGAAGGGAUCGACAUCAUCACCGAACCUUAAUCUUUGUCCACAAGUAGAAGCCGUACACGAACACCCACGACUGGAUUAGUGACGAUGGCGCUUGCUGAAGGCUUAAUCUAAUCGGAGUAGUGCGCAUCGCGAGCCACCAUUACAUAUUCAGAGUUUCUGCGUGUUGGAAACAAUAUCGCAUUACAUAUUCAGCAGGAUCCGGAUAGGGAGGCCACACGGCCCGGCCAUGAUUGGCAGGCACAGCUAGCUAGAUGAGCAGACUUCCGGGGCAGGGAAGAAGAAUCUCCAUUGGCUGACGCCAGCGGGAAGAAUCUUGGACGAUGGUAGCUGGGAUCAGACGAGCCUAACAGACUGAAUCGUCCAUGAUCGAACAGGACAUUAUACUAGUAUAAACUGAAGAAUCACAAGUUCUCCUUUCAUUAGCGUCGGGUCGACGAGUGAUUGGCUCACGGGAGGCACGCCAGCGGCUAACUUAAUCGCGUUGCUAGCUCCGGCCACCAUAUGGCAGGAGGAUCCGUAUCUUGAUUGGAGAAAUAGUUUAGUGUACCAUCAGCCGCUGGAUAUUAUGCGCCGAGGUCAAGCUCCGUGAGCCACUCGAUUAUAAUUUGUCUAGCUCUAGAUCGAUCGGUGCCUGCUGCUUUAGUUGCAGGCAGGCAUUGAUGGCGAGGGGACUUAGAAUAGGCGGAAAUGCAGCUGUUGGUUGCUGCUUAGUGCGCUUGCACGCACACCGUGGAUGGAACUGAUGUGAAUCUGCAGGGCUGAGACCGGUCGUCCUUUCAGGUGGACUGAUCGGCAGGGUUACCCAAGAAUAUCGUGAUUCUGAAGGAUCCGCCAAGUUGGAAGGUUUAUUUUUUUUUAAAAAAAGAGAGAGAUUCCUAAAACAAUCAGCAACUGGGUGUGGAUUUCCUAAUCUCGAUGUUAAUGGCUUAAUGGUUAUGGGUAUAUUUGUAACCCCGCCAGUUAAAUGCAGAUUUGAGAAUCAUCUCGGUUUGCGCGAAACCAUGUGAGCCUUGCACACAGCACAGCUAGUUUUAUGUGUACUAUUUCUGAAUCCUUUUGUUUUUCCCCGGAGCAUUAUUGGUUUAUGAAUUCUGGUGUUUGGUGAAUCUGUGUGUCUGAACUCUGAAUCACGUCUCAAGUCUGAAAACAUAUAUACCAUGUUUUAAGUCUACAGAGGUGUAGAAGAGUUGAGACGAGGUGGCGAAGAAAAAGUUGGGAUCUUUUGUUGACGUCACGGCUAUAUAAUUUGACAAGUUGUCCCGUCGUCCAUUAGCAACGGAGGGAAGGAAGCAUAAUGGGAUCGCCUUUGUCAAGCUGCGUGCCGCUCACGGGUGCUGCUGGUGCCAAGCACCAACCGCUACGCAUUCAAUUUUAUUCUGCUCUCUCCAGCCGUAUAAUUCUGUCAACUAUCAAACAUCCUCAGAAAAAGCAAUUAUGUUGACGCAGAAUUAUCAUAGUGAUUACUAGUAGUAUAGAAGAUCUGCCUAUCAUAAGUUGAAAUAAAGCGCGUAUCACAAGGUCUUUUACGGUACCUUAUACUAUUGUCGAAAAGGUCUUGUAUGUAAGGAUCCGACGGUUAAGAUUAAUUGUAUACUAUUAAAACUUUAAACUAUAGUAUAGGUUGUAUUAUGAGUAAUAUAUGUGGUACAGGGGUACGAUAGGAAAACGCUUCCUGCUGCCACCCACCGCUGCUGCCUCCGGCGCCGCCGCCGCCGAGGCGGAUGGCGCCAGCAGCGUGCUCGGGAGCAGCACGGCGAGGUAGAGCAGCGACAGCAGGAGGAGGAGGCGCCUCCUCCCGCGUCGGUGCCAUCGCGUCUCUCGGUGCCGCCGGAUUGGCACAGAGCGUCAGGGUCUCGCUGGAGCUCAUGCUGUCUUCUCUACGGAUCAUGGCCAAGGAUCGUGCCCACAAGAAGCAGUGGAGUAAGAUCAGGGAAUCCGUCAGGAGGUCAGGCUCAAAGCAGUGGAGUAAGAUCAGGGAAUCCGUCAGGAGGUCAGGCUCAUUUGUUCAGGUGAAGAUAGAGGCAGAAGCGAACAGUGAGUUUGCCAUGGCUGCAGAGAUCCAAGAGGCCUUCGCUGAUGUCGCCGCUCUGAUGGGCUCCGACGCCGGCGUCGUGCUCCACCUCAAGAGCCAUGCAGCUCCAAGUGCGGCGGCAAUGGCCAAGCUGGUCGGCGAUAUCGGUCAGGAGAAGAGAUUGUUGGGUGUUCUGGUGGACGUGUCGUCACCCCGGCGCGAGCUCGGCACGACGAGUUCUCGCCGGUCACCAACCCUGCCGCGACGUCGGUAACCAACCCAGUGACCGUGCCGGUCACGAACCCGGUACUAAAAACAGUCUAUACUCUAUAGUACACUUAGUAGUAUUGUGCACGGUAAAAGAGCUCAUCACGAAGAGCCUUGAUUAAGAGGGAAAAGAAGGAAGAAUGACUUAUACAUUUGUUUAAACAAACUGAUCCAUGCAUCAUCACCUUACUAAUUCAUUCCCUAUAGACUGAGAGCAGCAAGCGUAGCCGUUGAUUACGAAACCAGCAGCCUUCUCUGUCCAAUGUCAUCACGUACUGAAGCAGCAAGUAGUAGUAGCUUCCCUCUAACAGACAAGAGAGAUUUAGACGCACAGCCUACUGGUAACAGCAUCUAGCAAGCAACAGCUUACCGUGAGCGACUAAACAAACACGCAUGCCUAUCGCAUUACCAGCUGAUGCAGCCGCUAAAAUUAACCAACUUUAUUUAGUGGCUUGCAUCAUCAUCAGCCGGGGGCCGGGCCCUAUAAUCUACUUUGUUCAGGUACCAGAAGUUUCCUCCCCCCGGCCACGUUCCACAGCACGUAUGGUAAUGGUAUGGUGUGGUGGAUGGAUUCCAAGCCCCCAUAAAACAAACAAAAUUCUUCUCUUUGGAUCUUGGACCAUUAUUUCCAUGUGAUAUGGAAACCCCUAAUGACCACAUCGCCACAGGAACCGAUCCCUUUUUUUCCUUUCAAGAGAAAAAUGGAAAUGAAUUUCCUGUGGGAAUAAAAAGUGUACAGUUGAGCCCUAACAUGAAAAUGUAGCUGUGUGUACAUGUUCAGAUAAGUACCAUCAGUCGAUAUGGGAAGAAAAUUAAGGGCCAAAUGACACUAUAAGUAUAGGAGAGCACUAUAUAUAUGUUUUGGACCAUCAAAUGCUUGUAAGUGAUGUGAAAGGCAUUCCAUCAUUCCCUGUAUUUUACUAGCAGUGGAUCCUAUUAGUUGAUGGCAUACUUUGCUCUCAACCAAUCCCUAUGGGCUAUGGCAAUGCAGGCUUCAGUUUGGUAGUUAAAUAUUUUUUUUUGAAACAUAAGGUAGUUAAAUAUGUAUAGUGGAAGUGGUACCCAAAGCUAGCUCUGAUGAAGUCUGAACCCUGGAUGCCUUUUCCUCACAUGAGCUUGGCUGUACUAGUUCACCAACCCCUUAUUUUUGAAAGAUUCUAUAUGUAUACUUCACCUACCAGAGUAGCAGUCUACUGUCUAUCACCAUGGUUAGAAGGCUAAUUUCGGUACUAAAAGAUCCCACGCCCUGGUACCAAAUUAACCAACUAACAAACCACAGCUUUUUCUGGACAUCUCUUCAACCAAAAUUAAGGUUUAUGUCAGUAUCAGACCAUGAUAUUGUAUCUGGUCCCUAAAUUUUAAAAAUAUCAGGUCAGCCAGCAAUCAGCUUGCUUGUUCGGAUUAAAUUUUUUCCUUCCAAGAAUAAAAUAUAUUGAAGCUGGUUGAGAGUUGAAAUAUACGUACGAACCUGUCCCGGGAUUCAAGACAAACCGAGCCGGAAAAUAUCUAUUGCUCAUGUCUAUGCUGCACGGAUAUGGAUACGUGUAUCGAUAUCAGGCUGAUACGGAUACGGGGAUACGCCAUUUUUCCAAAAACCCAAUACGUGGAUACCUUUUACUACUUUUAAAAAUAAUUAAUAUAAUACUUAUAAUAGGUAAAUAUAAGCUUGUGAUUUAUAUCGAUUUGCACUAAGCACAAGCACACAACACCAUUAGAGCACAACGUGAGUCAAGAGGCUACACGAGGGGGAUAAAAAAAAAAGCAAGGAGGCACUGAUCUGCUAGAGCAAAAGGUGAGGGAGCAGCUCAAUGUAUCUGUGGCGUAUCCAUGAUGUAUCGGUGUCGGAUACAUAUCCGAUACGGAUACGGCACCCUCCCUGACGUAUCGGGGUAGCAGAGGCUCACGUGGCAAGCAGUAGUGCACACGUAUACGAGUAUGUGCCAGUGUGUGCAUAUAUAAUCCUCGGAACUAGUAUAAUUAGUAUCUGAUCAAUUACCUGACGUGAUGCUAUCUCUAAGAUACGAACUACUAGCUAGUGGCAACAUUGCGUUGGUUCCAUGGGCUCCUGCAAAAAUUCCACGCAAAGAGACAGCGUUGAGAAGACGAAAGAUUUCCGUCUAAAGAAUAUUAGUGUCGUCUUCAUCAACGCUGUGCUAGCUAAAGCAACAAGUUCAAGAUAUUCUUUGCCAAAUGAAAAUGCCCUGAGCCAAUUUCUGUCUGCUAGAAUCAGCGACCGUACGUUCCAGGACUCCAAAUAGGCGUUUGGUCAACUGUACUCCAUAGGCGGCUCAUAUUUUUUUUUUUGCGAGAGCUAGGAGGCUCAUUUCUCUCGUGAGCCCCACCAAUUUUGGACCAGAAUAUAUAGUAUCAACAUAAGGCCACAAAAGCGUACCGUGACGUGUACGGUUUAAUUUUAAUAAGUGCGUUUGAGGUCAAAUUUACACAUAAUUUCCCUGUUUCAAAUCGUUUUUGAGAAAAGUUCUUUUUUUCUUGAGGGACUUUUUAGAAAAGGGAAACAUAACCAAAAUUUUUGCGCAUCUGAGAGAAACGACGUCAGGCAGGCGCGGUAGAAUCUUUGGUCGGCCACGGCCCGCACCCAAUCACCAAUCACCCAACCCAACCCAAAGCAGCAGAUGACAUCCGCACGCCGCACGGGCCGUCGCCACGGCGUCUGCCAGCGCAUGACGGCGGGUCCCGACCUGCGCAUACAUAUCCUCCUGACCACCAUCCACGUCAUCCCCCCGUGAAAUCCCGGGCCUGCCCCUCGCGGGGCCCACGGGAAUCCGGUUGACCCUGCUGCCCCAACCCGCCAAUGCGUGGUCCCCACCCGGGCAAGCUGGCGGUGAGGAGAUUCCGUCGUCAUCGUGCGGCUGCACAAACAAAGAUGCAGGCGCAGAAAUAGGCCACUCCGAGGACGCCUGGGAGGGAUUGGAUUGCGCUGCACAAGUACGAUACCACCACCGCCUCCGACUCUCUGACCUCACCUCUCUCUCCCUGUCUUUUCAGCAGAAUCCAUCUGAUCCACGAGAGUACGCAGACAAGAUCGCUGCUUCAGUCCUGCAGAAACAGUGCGUGUGUCUCUGUGAGAUGGAUCGGUCAUAGAGAGACCGCGAAGGCAAGAGCUACCUGCUGCAUCAACUGUUUUAUUGGCGAGCUGCUGCGGCGACGAGAGAUCGGCAUGCCAUGAGGUGGGUUAGUUUGUUCAUGGCGUCUGAUGCAGUAGAGCACUAGAGCUGCGCGUGUGUUUUUCCUUUUUCCCCUUUCGUCCUGCCCUGUCCUGUUCUUGCUUCCGUUAUCUCGUGGGAAGGGGGAGGCAGGAGCACCAAUGGUCAAGUUGCGGCUGCCGGCAGGAUGGAUGGAGGACCGGUUGGGUUGGUGAAAUGGCUAGUGUGCCCGUCUCGUGUUUCUUACUGCUACCACUUUCUUCCUCCAUUGGGGGGUGGGGGCGUGUGACCGCGAUGUGCCUGGCUCUCCUUUCCGCGAUGGGGAUGUUUCGUCCGUAAGCUCAGCUCUGCCUCUCCCCAGUCGCCCUACCCUGCUCGCCUUGUGUUGUGCGGACUAGUGGCGUCCGUUGUGGCAGCCAUGCGCCUCGAAACCAAAAAGAUCGCCUAUUGCGUGCUCGAUUCCUUGGAGUAUUUGACGGACAGUAUUAUCGUUUUCUUCUUUCUGGUGCCCAGUUAAUCCAGGCUCCUUGGUGGUUCGUGGCUCGCGUUCGUUGCUUGCUUGGCUCAGGCGCUGCGGCCGCGGAGGCGGCGGCGGUUCUCGUGUGCUCCUUUCCCCGAUUGGCAUGCCAAGAUUCUGAGGUCGGGUCAGUGAGCGAGCUACUUGAGGUUGAUGGAGCAGCCGGCGGCGCAGAAAGACGAGGACGGCUUGCUGGGUUACGCCGUCAUGGAGGACGUUGCGGUCGGCGACCUGGAUCUCAUGGAGGAGCUGUUCAUGGCGGCGCCGGGGUUCGAUUUCUCCGACUUCUCGCAGCCCGGGCCCGGCGCGUCUCCGGGGGCCUGCUUCUCGCCGCUGUUCGACAUCUGCAGCACCACCACCACGGCGACUCCCCCCGCGCCGCCGGGCGACGACGACAGGGACGACACGGAGAGGCCCGAGGCGCGCCGCGCCUGGCUGUUCCAGCCCAGGCAGGAGGUGGAGGCCACGGUGAAGGAGCGGAUGCGCCGCGCGCUGGAGCGCAUCGCGCAGACGCAUCCCGGCGAGCUGCUCGCGCAGGUCUGGGUCCCCACGCUCAUCGGCGACCGCCAGGUGCUCACCACCUGCGGGCAGCCCUUCUGGCUGGACAGCCGGAACCAGCGCCUCGCCAACUACCGCUCGGUGUCGAUGAAGUACCAGUUCUCCGCCGACGAGAGCGCGUGCGCCGAGCUAGGGCUGCCCGGCCGCGUCUUCGUCGGCCGAGUCCCCGAGUGGACGCCCGACGUCCGCUACUUCUCCACCGAGGAGUACCCGCGCGUCCACCACGCCCAGUUCUUCGACAUCCGCGGCAGCGUCGCGCUCCCCAUAUUCGAGCCCCGCAGCCGGGCAUGCCUCGGCGUCGUCGAGCUCGUCAUGACCACGCAGAAGGUCAACUACAAUGCCGAGAUAGAGAACAUAUGCAGUGCUCUCAAGGUAGAUUGCCCACUGCUGCUCCUUUUCCUCUUUUCGAUCCUCCAAUCCCCACUUCUCUGCAGACUGCAGGCUAUGCUGUUAUGCUCUUAACCUGUUUGAUGGUAUGCCCUUAGGAAGAGACGUGCUACUACCGGGCACACCAAUCCCCGAAGUAAUCCGUCUUUUCACUUUCCUUUGUUUGGUGGUGUUCUUGCCUCAGUAAGAUUGUGUUUAUGCAAACUUGCAGGAGGUAGAUCUCAGAAGCACUGAUGUUUCAAGUGAUCCCCAUGCAAACGUGAGCUUAAAUGUAUGAACAUCAUAUUGUUGUACUGAUAGUUGAAAGCCUGAAAUGUUGUUAUCGGUAACAUAUGUUGCUUAUUCCUUGUUAGGUGGCUGAUACUUCUUACCGAGCAAUUGUACCGGAGAUCAUUGACGUUCUCAGAACUGUUUGCGAGAGACACGAGCUGCCACUGGCCCAAACAUGGAUACCAUGCAUCUGCCAAGCAAAGAGGGGAAGCCGCCACUCCGAUGAAAAAUUUAAGUACUGUGUGUCGACUGUGGACGAGGCAUGUUACAUUCGUGACCCAAAUGUAACGGGCUUUCACCAAGCUUGCUCCGAUCAUCAUCUGUUCAGGGGUGAGGGUGUUGUUGGUAGGGCAUUUGGGACAAACGAGCCAUGUUUCGCCACGGAUGUUACUGCCUACAGCAAGGCCCAAUACCCUCUCUCACAUCAUGCAAAACUUUUCAACUUGAAGGCUGCAGUUGCCAUCCGGCUGCGAAGUAUCAGGACUGGAAGCCUUGACUAUGUCUUGGAAUUCUUCCUGCCAGUGGACUGUAUAGAGAGCGAAGAGCAAAGGGCCAUGCUUAAUUCUUUGUCCAUUACAAUACAGCAGACCUGCUAUACAUUACGAGUUGUCAGCUUAAAAGAACUAGUGGAUGAAGGAUCAUUUGAAACAAGUACAGUAACCCCAGCAGAAUUUUAUGAAAAGCCCAUUCAUGAAAACUUGGAUGAGGUUUGUAGCAACAUUGAAGUUCCUGUGAGGACAACAUCGCUGGAAACUUCUGAGGAGGUAACUUCAUGGAUAGCAAGCCUUGUUGAUGCUCAAAGUAAGGGAGUGAAAGAAAUGGAUGGUGACCUGCCAUUUGGAUUCAGCAAGCAAGAGGAUGAAGGGUUCAGUGUUACGGCUGGCUGGCAUACUCCACCUGUCCUAGGCCCUAAAGGUACCAUCUUUUCAGGGUUUAAGCAUCACGAAGAAUAUGAGGUCAAGGAGCCUAUUUGUUCCAGACAUCCAAGCCCUUCCAAUUUGGACAAAACAGUCGAGAAGCGGCGCACUAAGAUGGAGAAAACUGUUAGCCUGGAAGAGCUUCGGAAGCAUUUUGCUGGCAGCCUGAAAGAAGCUGCAAAGAAUUUAGGAGGUAACUUCUGACCCACACAUCUUUACAGUUCUUUGCCACUCCUUUUGUUUUAGUACUUUCCUCUGUUUGGAUGGAUAGGCACUUAGGCAGUAGCUUCUAGAUAGCCUGCUGAAAACAACGUCAUCUUCCAAUGCCCAUAACUUCAUUUUCAUGCU
rnacentral:lncRNA from 1 species